AUGUGCUGGAGAUGAAGCUGGAGCUCCUCUCCAUCACUCUGCAGCUCCUCUCCAUCACUCUGC
ensembl:miRNA gga-mir-7472 gga-mir-7472